AUUGAACGCUGGCGGCAUGCCUUACACAUGCAAGUCGAACGGCAGCACGGGUGCUUGCACCUGGUGGCGAGUGGCGAACGGGUGAGUAAUACAUCGGAACGUACCUUAUCGUGGGGGAUAACGCAGCGAAAGCUGUGCUAAUACCGCAUACGCCCUGAGGGGGAAAGCGGGGGAUCGCAAGACCUCGCGCGAUUAGAGCGGCCGAUGCCUGAUUAGCUAGUUGGUGGGGUAAAAGCCCACAAAGGCGACGAUCAGUAGCUGGUCUGAGAGGACGAUCAGCCACACUGGGACUGAGACACGGCCAAGAAUCCUACGGGAGGCAGCAGUGGGGAACUUUGGACAAUGGGGGCAACCCUGAUCCAGCAAUGCCGCGUGAGUGAAGAAGGCCUUCGGGUUGUAAAGCUCUUUUGUCAGGGAAGAAACACCGGCUCUAACACAGUCCGGGAAUGACGGUACCUGAAGAAUAAGCACCGGCUAACUACGUGCCAGCAGCCGCAGUAA
rnacentral:rRNA from 1 species